UGGGGAAUAUUGCACAAUGGGCGAAAGCCUGAUGCAGCGACGCCGCGUGCGGGAUGAAGGCCUUCGGGUUGUAAACCGCUUUUAAUUGGGAGCAAGCGAGAGUGAGUGUACCUUUUGAAUAAGCACCGGCUAACUAUGUGCCAGCAGCCGCGGUAAUACGUAGGGUGCAAGCGUUAUCCGGAAUUAUUGGGCGUAAAGAGCUCGUAGGCGGUUUGUCACGCCUGGUGUGAAAGUCCAUCGCUUAACGGUGGAUCUGCGCCGGGUACGGGCAGGCUAGAGUGCAGUAGGGGAGAUUGGAAUUCCCGGUGUAACGGUGGAAUGUGUAGAUAUCGGGAAGAACACCAAUGGCGAAGGCAGAUCUCUGGGCUGUUACUGACGCUGAGGAGCGAAAGCAUGGGGAGCGAACAGGAUUAGAUACCCGUGGUAGUCCAUGCCGUAAACGGUGGAU
rnacentral:rRNA from 1 species